GUAAUAAGGUGGUGUUAGAAGUUUUUGGUUUUUGUUCUCUCAAAUAAAGAAUAUUACGGAAAGUCUUUUCACUUCAAUCAAUUUAUCGAUGGAAGUGAAAUCGGACUGACAGUAGACAGCUGUGAAUAAAGUGCAUUUGACCUCUGUUUAUUUGGAAGGUUUAACAUUUAUUAGUAAACGGUACAACUUUCUAGAUAAUUCAAAAAAUGACUAAACUUUUUUCUGUGAUCUUUCCCGGGUUGUGAUAAAUUAAAAACAGCUUUUAUAAAAUAACCUCCAACAAAUUGCACGUAGAAUAGCAAUGAAAGAAAAUAAAUGAAAGAUCCAGAGCAACAGCUCAAAAUGACUAGAAACGGAAAAACUGCAGCCUUCGGAACUGACACAAGCCAUGGAGCCUCGACGUCCAGCUCCUCCGCACAAGGGGUGUACUGUAAGGGGCACCGUAGACAAGAGUCCAUGUAUACAAUGACUGGUCUCUAUUCAUAAACCAUUCCAGAAACGACAGAAAUCGCUGAAACAAAAUGUUCGACGAACUUUUGUCAUGACACAGUUAUUAAAUACCACAGUAGAAAUCCUUCAGCUAGUUUUGAUAGAGAUAAAGCUGCACAUACCGCGACUUACACUGAAACACCUGUGAUAUUAAAAAAUACAAAAGAAUGCGACCUUUUUUCAAUGCUGGCCUUCGCUUUUACAAAAAUAUGCGGAAAUUAAAGAAGAAGACAUCUUGAAUGGAUACGGCUGAUAGGAAUUUAGCAGCAUUCUUCAAGUAUUAUAUAAUUGUAAACACCUGUACAAUAAUAAUAAUACAAUUUGUGGAUAAAUCGAUAAUUCGUCAACUGCAUCGAUGCAUAACGUGUCUACAAUGACAAAAACAUCUUCUGUGGAAGCACCCAAUAUUCGAAGCAAUGUCAACAUAACUCUUUAGUAAUUUUCAACCCUCGACAGUUCAUAAAAGAAUCCUGAUUAAGUUGGAGAUCUCGAAUUGAUAUUUUUCACAGUAUAUGCUACCCAAGUACAUCCGGAACAGUAAAAUGUACUUUGCGAAUUUCUUGUUGCAUCGAAAGGCUUUCUUCAUUUGUACGUUUUACUCUGUCCUUAUACUUAUUGCUGAAAGAUUAUGAAAAAUACAAAUUUAUUGAAUAAAUAGAAGAUGAAUGUAAUUAUUCUGUCGUAAAAACAACUUGAAAGUAAUGUCACAACUACAGAGUAAUUUGAUAACAUCAGUGGCGUGAAAAGUAUAUAUGAAUCAUGAAAAUCGACCCGAUGAAACAGAAAUUAGAAUUAAACAGAAACUGUAGAAAAAGGAAUAAAAAUAUACUAGUGUGUUUAGUGAUUUGUGUAUUUUAAAGUUAGUUUGUGUAAUGCUGUAAAGAACAUUCUAUAAUUUUUCAUUUUUGUUUUAUAAAUUAUCAAAUCAUAAUUAGUUUAAUAUUUGAGAAAAAUAUUUCGAAAUUUUCAAUGAUGUUUCGAAGGCAUUAUUUGGACAAGACAUUCCUUGCAACGAACUAUGCUUUACUUUCUAUCUAUAAAAAUAAAUUGCAUUAAUUUUGAUGAGAAGUGUGUUUUUGAGUCCUAAAAACAUUUCUCCAAAAUUCCUCGGCUAACGAAUCACAACAUGAACCAAAUAAAUUGUUUUAGUUUUUUCCAUACCCAAAUUACUCACUAAUCUAUUUUUGAGUAACCAUUUUAUAGACCUUGAAUGUAAUUGUGAUCAAUAAAGACAUGAAUAAAGAGUUUAUAUCGAAAAGGAGCUAAUAUAGAAUCUUCAAAAUGCAGUGUGAGAAAAUGGAUAAGUCGUAAAAAUCCAUCUUCAUAUAAAGAAUAUCAGCCAAAUAUCAUAUUGUAAAUUUAUUUCACAUUU